rfam:Pelosinus sp. TFO1, complete genome.
UUUAGUGACGAUAGCUGUGAGGAUCCACCUGUUGCCUUAUCGAACACAGUAGUUAAGCUCACACACGCCGAAGGUACUUGGUUGGAAGCGACCUGGGAGAUUAGGUAGUUGCUAAUU